CAGUCGCCACGGUAAUACGAACCGUGCGAGCGUUAUUCGGAAUCACUGGGCUUAAAGCGCGUGUAGGCGGGCCGCCACGUCGGCUGCUGAAAUCCCCCGGCUCAACCGGGGAACGGGCACCGAUACGAGCGGCCUGGAGGGGGGUAGGGGGGACUGGAACUUCCGGUGGAGCGGUGAAAUGCGUUGAGAUCGGAAGGAACGCCCGUGGCGAAAGCGAGUCCCUGGACCCUUUCUGACGCUGAGACGCGAAAGCCAGGGGAGCGAACGGGAUUAGAUACCCCUGUAGUCCCUGUCUCUUAUA
rnacentral:rRNA from 1 species